rnacentral:rRNA from 1 species
UACGUAGGGGGCAAGCGUUGUCCGGAAUCACUGGGCGUAAAGCGCACGUAGGCGGAUUGCUAAGUCAGGGGUGAAAUCCUGGAGCUCAACUCCAGAACUGCCUUUGAUACUGGCGAUCUCGAGUCCGGGAGAGGUGAGUGGAACUGCGAGUGUAGAGGUGAAAUUCGUAGAUAUUCGCAAGAACACCAGUGGCGAAGGCGGCUCACUGGCCCGGUACUGACGCUGAGGUGCGAAAGCGUGGGGAGCAA